UACGGAGGGGGCUAGCGUUGUUCGGAAUUACUGGGCGUAAAGCGCACGUAGGCGGCCUUUUAAGUCAGGGGUGAAAUCCCGGGGCUCAACCUCGGAACUGCCUUUGAUACUGGAAGUCUUGAGUAUGGAAGAGGUAAGUGGAAUUGCGAGUGUAGAGGUGAAAUUCGUAGAUAUUCGCAGGAACACCAGUGGCGAAGGCGGCUUACUGGUCCAUUACUGACGCUGAGGUGCGAAAGCGUGGGGAGCAAACAGG
rnacentral:rRNA from 1 species